UACGAAGGGGGCGAGCGUUAUUCGGAAUCACUGGGCGUAAAGCGUGCGUAGGCUGUUUUGUAAGUUGGGAGUGAAAGCCCAGGGCUCAACCCUGGAAUUGCUCUCAAAACUACAAGACUCGGAUUUGGGAGAGGAUAGCGGAAUUGUCAGUGUAGCAGUGAAAUGCGUAGAUAUUAACAGGAACACCAGUGGCGCAAGCGGCUAUCUGGACCAACAUCGACGCUGAGGCACGAAAGCGUGGGGAUCAAACAGG
rnacentral:rRNA from 1 species